AUAAAGGCCUUAUUCUGGAACAUUAGAGGUUUCGGUGCUAGGGGGCGCAGGGACCAGCUUAAAGAUCUGGUGCAUUCUGAAAAUGUUGAUUUUAUUGGCCUUGUCGAGACUCUCAAAUCCUCUUUCUCCCCUAGCGAACUCUCGGCCGUUGCUGGGAUAGAUAGAUUUAAUUGGAACUUUGUGGCCUCUGCUGGACAUUCGGGUGGUAUUCUCCUUGGUACCAAAAAAGAUGUUUUCGAUUUUGUUGCUUUUGACCAUGGCAUCUUUUGGGCUAGUACGGUGGUAUAUCAUCGAACUCUCAACUCUUUACUAGAAAUCAUGGUGGUCUAUGGUCCGGCUGACCACUCUAUGUCAUACAUUUUUCUAGAUGAACUUAGUAAUAAAAUUGAAUCCUGCCAGCUGCCUCUCCUGAUUGGGGGUGAUUUUAAUUUGAUGCAAUAUCCUUCUGAUAAGAGCUCCUCUAUUUUUUCUUGGCCUCUGGCUGAUGCCUUCAAUGCUUUCAUUAGGGACACAACUAUUCGUGAAAUUCCUAGGGUUGGGGCCCGUUACACUUGGACUAACCGCCAAACCUCCCCCAUUCGUUCUGUCCUUGAUAGGUUUUUUUAUGUCCUAAUUGGGAUUCACUGUUCCCCCGUGUGA
rnacentral:rRNA from 1 species